rnacentral:snRNA from 1 species
GUGCUUGGUCAGGGGAGACACAGGAGCAUGAAGGUAGUUUCCCAAGGCCAGGGCAUGUCCCUUGCACUGUGGGCAUGCUGAGUCCUGACUUGCCCACAUGUGGAGGACUGACAUUUGUUGCAGGGAGCGUGGGGCUGUGUUCACAUGUUCCCCUA